CAGCAAUAAAAGAUAAGUCAAAUCUCAAAGUUUUAUAUGAAACAUUAAUAACCAUUUUUUUUUUCUGUUUCUUCUGUCAACAUGAGUCGUCACCAUGACUUUUAUUCUGAAUAUCACUAUUUUUGAACACAUUCUUCUGUUUCUUUCUUUGCAUGAUUGUUACAUCUACAUGACAGCGUUUGAGUAUCACGAAGGCAAAAUUAUCACAGCAAUAAAGUGUCACAAUGACGGAUAUGGGAAGAUCACAUGACAGCAAUAAAGGCGUGCACAUCAGUAAUCUGGACAUUCUCCAGCUCUUGCUUGGACUCAGUCGCUGGCUGCUGCUCUAGUCUCCGCUGGCAUGACUCAAGCUCUCUUCAUGCACUGUCUGCUACAUACUUUCUGCUAGUGCUGCAGCUGUGUCUAGACAACUGUUAGGACAUUUCAUUUUACCCCCAACACAUUCUGCUCAUGCAACCUGUAUGCAUUUCUUUCUUCUGUUGAGCACAAAAGAAGUUGCUUUGAAGGAUGUUGGUAAGCUGACGUUAGCCAUUGACUUUCAUAGUAUGAAAAAAAUAAAUAUUAUGGAAGUCAAUAGCUACUGUCAACUUUUUAAUUUUUGGAUGAACUAUCCAUUUAACCAUGUUUUGGGGGAAAGACAUGAUCCAAAUCUGACAGGGUUAUUCAAAAACUGUUUUUUGGAGGUCAGGUGCUGGUCUAGAUGAUAGACUAAAAAGCUUAUUUUAUAGAGUGUUUAAUCUGGUCAUUGGUUAAUGUUUAAAACAUUUGCAUGAAGAAACAAUGCCUGUCAAAGCAUCAAGGCUCGUCAAGCUUAAGAACAAUAAGAAAAACAUAGGAAAUGAAUGUAGACACUGCAAACAAGGCACACAGAAGAAAAAAAAAUCUAAAUCUGCUCUUCAAGAGGUCUGUUUAUGUAAUACUUAUAUCUAGUUUCAUUUCUAACGUGCCGUUAAACACUAUUUAAUCUAUUCAGCUUGUGUGUGUGUGUGUGUGUGUGUGUGUGUGUGUGUUUGUGUUCUCUACUCUGUACUAAAGACAUUUUUACCUGUAUGAAGGUGAAGGACUCAGGAGAGCUGGCUCUGUUUAAUCUCUCUUGAGAGUUGGAUCAAUGAUGUAAUAACAUGGCUCUCUACUCUGAGAGCUGGCAGGAACAUCUGCUGCUUUUGUGGAAGACGCUGUAAGAAGCGUGUAGGGCUGGACUGAGUGCCAACCUUGGAUGUGUUACACAGAUGGUUUCUCUGAAGCCCAUUACCUGAGCUCCAGAUUGGUUUGGGCUUAAUCAAAACACAAGGAAGGAAAUACAUAGCGAUGUCUAUCAAACUUGACCAAUGACCAAAAUUACAACAGAAGGGUUAAUUAACUAUGCUAUCCCUGGAUGAGGCCGUGACGUUUCUGCUGAGCUUGUGGACCGUGGCAGAGCAGAAGAAUCUGUGGGAUACAGUGAUGUGUUUUGGCUAAUUGGCCAUAGAAAAGAGGACGUCAGAACAGCGUGGAGACAGUGAAUAAUAGAUUAAUGGGCACGGCCCUAAUUGAUAAAGCAUGGCCUUCUGAAGCUAGAGGUUGUGUGGGUAUGGAGGAUGAAUCAGUGAAGAGCGUGCUUCAUGAACAGGAAAUACCAGGUUUACAUCCCACCAUGAGCUCUUCUGAUGGAGGGAUGCAUUUGUGCCUUUGAGCAAAGCAUUUUAAUGUCAUCUGCUUGAGGUCUUGAUACCACAGCUUUCUAGUUACCGUGUAAUCCAGCUACAGUCUGCCAAUGGAGGAUAUUUUACACUGCUUGCAAAAGACUGCUUCCUCUUACCUUCUUAUGUAAGCUUGUUUAAUCACGUUUGCAUCAACACUCUCAUGGCAAUUCACAACUUCUAAGGCUUUGACAAAUAAGUGAUGAACUUAUGUCAGUUUGUAUUAUUUCAUUUGUGCAUGCCUUUUUUGUAUUAUUUCAUUUGUGCAUUUUUGUAUGAUUUGCUUAUCCCCAUUUAAGACCUUCAUGCUUUCUUUUUGGUCUAAAAAUCAUAUGUUUUUCAUAACAUGUCAUGAACAUGUCAAAUUUAGGCUGGAUUAAGAAAUACCAAGAGAGAGAAUCUCUAAAUUGUGAUAUGAUUGGUUUGUUGUGUAUUAACCGUAAUUGGCAAUCCAUCAGUUAAGCUAUAAACAUAUACUGAUUUAUUAUAAUCUUCAACAAGAAAGCCAAAUUAAUCCUGUAAUCAGGCAUCACAACUGCCAAAGUGACUGUGAUGUGUAUAUGCUGUUAAUAUUACGUUAUCAAAAUUGAAUAUUUUUUUCUGGUAUUCAGUGAUAGUAAUAUUGGUUCUUUGCUGAAAGGCAUUGAAGCAGCAGUCUUUGACAUGGUUAUACUUAAUCUGAGAUUCAUUGUAAUGUGAAUCAAUUGAUGGAUGGUAAGUGUGUCACAGUAAGUGAUCCAAUACAGCUUAUUUUGCCCUAUGAUUAAAGUCAUUUGUUUUUGAUGAUAAUAUCAUGGUCGCAAAAUCACACAGUCUUCAUCUAGUUUCAGUAGCUAAAAACAAGAUGCUUUGCAACCAUAUUAUAUGCUGAUGACACAAUUUUAAAUGAGCAAACAAAGAGGAACCUAUGCCAAGGGAAUAUGUCUGAUGAGAAACAGCUACCAAUAAUGACAGACAAAUUGAACAGUCCAAACAAUAUGGUAAUGUGCAUACUAUAUAGGGAAUUUAAAACACAAAACAAAUACAUUAACAUGUUACAUAAUGAAUAGCACAACAUUCAUCAGCUCAUUCCACAGAUCUGUUGCAUUCAGCAGAGGAACGUCUAACUAUGCAAUGAUAUAAACACAAAUGAACAAAAUAUCAUUUUCUUACUAACAUGGAAUGCAAAAAGUGAUGUACUGCACUAUAGAGCAGUAGAUUUUCAGCAAAUGAAGUCUGUGUUGUGUUUGUCACACACUGCUAUUCUAUGAUUUGUAACAUAACGCAUGAGUGGUAUGAAAUAUGACUUUGUCCUUGACUGUUCAUAUAAAC
ensembl:lncRNA